rnacentral:rRNA from 1 species
AUACGUAGGGGGCGAGCGUUGUCCGGAAUGAUUGGGCGUAAAGGGCGCGUAGGCGGCCCGGUAAGUCUGGAGUGAAAGUCCUGUUUUUAAGAUGGGAAUUGCUUUGGAUACUGUCGGGCUUGAGUGCAGGAGAGGUAAGUGGAAUUCCCAGUGUAGCGGGGAAAUGCGUAGAGAUUGGGAGGAACACCAGUGGCGAAGGCGACUUACUGGACUGUAACUGACGCUGAGGCGCGAAAGUGUGGGGAGCAAACAGGAUUAGAUACCCUGGUAGUCCACACUGUAAACGAUGAGUACUAAGUGUCGGGUAACCGGUGCUGAAGUUAACACAUUAAGUACUCCGCCUGAGUAGUACGGUCGCAAGGCUGAAACUCAAAUGAAUUGGCGGGG